AUUGAACGCUGGCGGCAGGCCUAACACAUGCAAGUCGAGCGGAUGAAGGGAGCUUGCUCCUGGAUUCAGCGGCGGACGGGUGAGUAAUGCCUAGGAAUCUGCCUGGUAGUGGGGGAUAACGUCCGGAAACGGGCGCUAAUACCGCAUACGUCCUGAGGGAGAAAGUGGGGGAUCUUCGGACCUCACGCUAUCAGAUGAGCCUAGGUCGGAUUAGCUAGUUGGUGGGGUAAAGGCCUACCAAGGCGACGAUCCGUAACUGGUCUGAGAGGCUGAUCAGUCACACUGGAACUGAGACACGGUCCAGACUCCUACGGGAGGCAGCAGUGGGGAAUAUUGGACAAUGGGCGAAAGCCUGAUCCAGCCAUGCCGCGUGUGUGAAGAAGGUCUUCGGAUUGUAAAGCACUUUAAGUUGGGAGGAAGGGAAGUAAGUUAAUACCUUGCUGUUUUGACGUUACCAACAGAAUAAGCACCGGCUAACUUCGUG
rnacentral:rRNA from 1 species